rnacentral:rRNA from 1 species
GACGAACGCUGGCGGCGUGCCUAAUACAUGCAAGUUGAGCGAUGAAGAUUGGUGCUUGCACCAAUUUGAAGAGCAGCGAACGGGUGAGUAGCGCGUGGGGAAUCUGCCUUUGAGCGGGGGACAACAUUUGGAAACGAAUGCUAAUACCGCAUAAUAACUUUAAACAUAAGUUUUAAGUUUGAAAGAUGCAAUUGCAUCACUCAAAGAUGAUCCCGCGUUGUAUUAGCUAGUUGGUGAGGUAAAGGCUCACCAAGGCGAUGAUACAUAGCCGACCUGAGAGGGUGAUCGGCCACAUUGGGACUGAGACACGGCCCAAACGCCUACGGGAGGCAGCAGUAGGGAAUCUUCGGCAAUGGACGAAAGUCUGACCGAGCAACGCCGCGUGAGUGAAGAAGGUUUUCGGAUCGUAAAACUCUGUUGGUAGAGAAGAACGUUGGUGAGAGUGGAAAGCUCAUCAAGUGACGGUAACUACCCAGAAAGGGACGGCUAACUACGUG